rnacentral:lncRNA from 1 species
AUAACUAUUUUAUAUAUAUAUAUAUAUUUUUUAUUAAUAAAAAUUCUUGAAAUAAAUAAAUAAAAAUAAAAAACGAAUGGUAUUGUGUUUUAUUAUCGGAAUUUAUCUGGUUGUCAUCUGAUAUCUCUAUAUCUCAGACUGACCGGUUUACUGAUAAGGUCAAGGCAAACUUGGCAUAAAAACUAACUCCUACAGAUUGCUUAAGUGAAUUCUUACAUUAAAUACGAUAAUUAAAAUGAUUUAUUUCUCGGUAAAAAGUUGAGACUCAGGAGUGCUAUUUAUUCGGUCGUGUUUUAAAAAGGACUGUUCUGUAACUACCGGAAACUAACGUGGGCCGAUAUGUUACCAUGACAACCAGCAAUGACGUCAUAACAAGACCGGUCAUUCGGUACGACGAUCCAUUGAUUGAAGGUUUCUUUUGUCAUCGAUCUAGAUUUCUGACGGGUCGGUACCGUAGACAGUUCCACCCACUUAUUCACUUCCCCGUUACCACGAUUUUGGUGACGUCACUAAAUGGACAAAAUGCGAUUCUUUCGAUAUCGUUAAAAACCGCCGACCAAUUCAAUUAAUAUUGUCUUGUUAUUUGAAGACUUCAGAAAUGGAAAUUAGUUGACGUCAAUGGAACUGUUGACAUUGUCAAAGAGAGAUGAUGAUAUUUUAUCGUGACUGAAUGAACAAUUUUCCAUUUUAAUUAUGCAAAUUUUAUUAAAUUUUUAAUUUAAUAAAGAAAAAAAAAAGAACUUUUAAGGACAAUAUUUACGUGUGUAUCGAAAAUAAGGAAUAAAUUAAAUAAAAAUUAUCUGUUUGAGAAAAUAUUUUGAUGUAAACUGAUUAAAUUAUACAUAAAUUUAAUUUGAAGUUAUACCAUAUUUUGAAAGAUAGAACCAUCCACUUGUAUAGAUUAAAGAAAGAUUAAUCUAUAAACUUUCCAUUAAUGUUUAAUAUAUCUGCGAUUAGAAGUAAAUGGGAAUAAAUAUUGAAUAGGAUCUUAUAACUAAAUAAAACUUUCUUUAAUUCUUUUAUUUUAGAUAUAGAAUUAUAUAUAUAUAUAUAAAUAUUAUUAUGUUUUAUUGAUUUUUAA